rnacentral:rRNA from 1 species
UGGAAACGGGGGCUAAUACCCAAUGUGCUCGGUGAUUCGGUUCAUCGAGUAAAGCUCCGGCGCUUCGGGAGAGGCCUGCGGCCCAUCAGCUAGUUGGUAGGGUAACGGCCUACCAAGGCAGAGACGGGUAGGGGGCGUGAGAGCGCGGACCCCCACACUGGCACUGAGAUACGGGCCAGACUCCUACGGGAGGCAGCAGUAAGGGAUAUUGCGCAAUGGACGAAAGUCAGACGCAGCGACGCCGCGUGGGCGAUGAAGGCCUUCGGGUUGUAAAGCCCUUUUAUGGGGGAAGAGAAAAAGGACGGUACCCCAGGAAUAAGUCCCGGCUAACUACGUGCCAGCAGCCGCGGUAAAACGUAGGGGACAAGCGUUAUCCGGAUUCACUGGGCGUAAAGAGCGUUGAGGCGGUUCCGUAAGUUGGGCGUGAAAGCUCCGGGCUUAACUCGGAGAUGUCGUUCAAUACUGCGGGGCUUGAGGACAGCAGAGGAAGGUGGAAUUCCCGGUGUAGUGGUGAAAUGCGUAGAUAUCGGGAGGAACACCCGUGGCGAAGGCGGCCUUCUGGGCUGUUCCUGACGCUGAAGGCGAAAGCUAGGGGAGCGAACGGGGUUAGAUACCCCGGUAGUCCUAGCUGUAAACGAUGGAUGCUGGGUGUGGGGGGUGUAAAUUCCCUCUGUGCCGAAGCAAACGCGUUAAGCAUCCCGCCUGGGGACUACGGCCGCAAGGCUAAAACUCAAACGAAUUGACGGGGGCCCGCACAAGCAGCGGAGCGUGUGGUUUAAUUCGAUGCUACACGAAGAACCUUACCUGGGUUUGACAUGCACGUGGUAGGGAACCGAAAGGGGACCGACCUUCGGGAGCGUGCACAGGUGCUGCAUGGCUGUCGUCAGCUCGUGCCGUGAGGUGUCGGGUUAAGUCCCGUAACGAGCGCAACCCUUGCCCUUAGUUACAAGUGUCUAAGGGGACUGCCCGGGACAACUGGGAGGCCGGUGGGGAUGACGUCAAGUCAGCAUGGCCUUUAUAUCCAGGGCUACACACACGCUACAAUGGCCGGUACAAUAGGUUGCGAAGUCGUGAG